rnacentral:rRNA from 1 species
ACGAACGCUGGCGGCGUGCCUCAUACAUGCCAGUAGAACGCUGAAGAGAGGAGCUUGCUCUUCUUGGAUGAGUUGCGAACGGGUGAGUAACGCGUAGGUAACCUUCCUGGUAGCGGGGGAUAACUAUUGGAAACGAUAGCUAAUACCGCAUAAAAUGGAUUAUCGCAUGAUAAUCCAUUGAAAGGUGCAAAUGCAUCACUACCAGAUGGACCUCCGUUGUAUUAGCUAGUUGGUGGGGUAACGGCUCACCCAGGCGACGAUACAUAGCCGACCUGAGAGGGGGGUCGGCCACACUGGGACUGAGACACGGCCCAGAAUCCUGAGGGAGGGAGCAGUAGGGAAUCUUCGGCAAUGGACGGAAGUCUGAAAGAGCAAAGCCGCGGGAGUGAAGAAGGGUUUCGGAUCGUAAAGCUCUGUUGUAAGAGAAGAACGAGUGUGAGAGUGGAAAGUUCACACUGUGACGGUAUCUUACCAGAAAGGGACGGCUAACUACGUG